rnacentral:rRNA from 1 species
GAUGAACGCUGGCGGUAUGCCUAACACAUGCAAGUCGAACGGGCUUUUCGGAGCUAGUGGCGGACGGGUGAGUAACGCGUGAGAAUCUGCCUUCAGGAUGGGGAUAACAGGGAGAAAUCGCUGCUAAAACCCAAUGUGCCGAGAGGUGAAAUACUUGUAGCCAGAAGAGGAGCUCGCGUCCGAUGAGUUAGUUGGUGGGGUAAGAGCCUACCAAGGCAGCGAUCGGUAGCUGGUCUGAGAGGAUGAGCAGCCACACUGGGACUGAGACACGGCCCAGACUCCUACGGGAGGCAGCAGUGGGGAAUUUUCCGCAAUGGGCGAAAGCCUGACGGAGCAAUACCGCGUGAGGGAGGAAGGCUUUUGGGUUGUAAACCUCUUUUGUUAAGGAAGAAGAAAGUGACGGUACUUAAAGAAUAAGCAUCGGCUAACUCCGUGCCAGCCGCCGCCGUAA